GUACACGGUGGACACGGUACGGACUCACUGCACUAUUGGAAAGGCUUUCUGUCUAAAGCCUUUCCAUACUGGUGCUCGAUGUUUUCAGUUUGGGGACACCAAAAUUAGUGUACCGCUAAAGACACGUGGUCGACACGUUGUUGACACGUUGUUGACACUUUGUUGACACGUGACCCAAUUACCGGCCUACCAAGUGCCUUUGGCGACCGCUAACAGCAACUGUGGAACAGUGCAGUGCCCUUUUUUGGAGCAACGUACGAGUAGUGCCCAUGGAUUAUGACCCCGCGACCCCAAUCUACGUGGCGGUCCGCAAUUCGCUACUUCAUACUGACUGGCGUCCGGCAUCGUCCCGAAUUUGGCCACAAUCUGCUCUCGGGACCCCUAUAGGGCUCCCUGACCUGCUCCAUCUCCGCCAUCGUCAAUGACUGCGCAUCCACCCAGGCCAGGACUGCACUUACUUACGGGAAGGAGUAUUUGCAAGAUGGAACCUGGGAACUGGAAGACGACGAAGAGGAAGCGUGGGAAUCCGGCGGCAAUGGGUGGGAUGACUGAACUUACGGGAAGGAGUGCUUCCAAGAUGGGAGACGAAGAAGAAGAAGCCGCUGAAUCCGGCGGCAAUGGCUGGGAUGCUGCGUUCUCGAGAGGAAGCGUUAUUUCUGCAUUCCAAGAAGGACGGCACAAUGUGUCGGACUGUCCGCGUCGCAUUGAACUGGUCCGAUGAGGCUGCUAUUGCACACACAGUGAGGGAACUCCCAUACGGGAACUCGGAAGUACUGCCACAGUACAGGUAUAUCACCCCGUGACGACCACAUCGAAGUCUGAAAUUGAAGUGUGAAGAUGCUUCAGCAACCCCUUCAUAUUUUUCCAUUGCUUUUAUUGUGCUUCUACUGUGCAUGUGUGUAACCUGUGGGGUAUGCAUGUGAUGACAAUGUAUGCCGAUGACACGGUCAGAUUUUGUCCAUGCGUGUAACGUACACCUGCAUGCUAUCGUUGAAAAGGAUCUGCCACUUACGAUCUUCGGACGAGUAUCAGGUCAGCUUGGUUUUGUGUGGGCUGUACCAGAUGCUGUUCACUUCUCUAUCUGUUGGAUAUGUGACUUUCUGCAAGUUUCUGGUGUAUGGUGGCCACUUCUUUGCUCGUCUUUGUAUGACAUUACAAUAAUUCUGUAUUCACUGCUUCCAUGGUGUGGUCUGCAAACUGCAAUCCUUAGGCAAAUAUCAUCACGGUUUGCAAUGUUAUACUUUGGCUGCUAGCUUACCUACACAUUGUAGUUGAAUUAUUUUUGUUUCACAACUGACUUCCUGAAGUAUGGUGGCCACUGCUUUGCAUGGCAUUAUACAA